rnacentral:lncRNA from 1 species
AUUGAUCUGUAUGUCGCACCAACUACAGAUAUAUUGCCAGUAACCAGUAAAGAGAUAUCCCUAAGACGAGACAUCCCCAGUUACAAUGAGUAAAUACCAAAAAGAAAAAAAUUAGCAUCAGGAGCCAACAACAUGUCAACAUGGCAUCAUCGUCAUCAGAGUCGCUAAAUACUAUUAUAUCCUGGUCUCUUGGUUCUGGAUCAAGAUCAUGUACAUUGCUAGCAGGGUAAUCAUAUUGUCCUGGUCCCAAAUAUUAAGUGUUCUUGUGAUCAUUGCUGCUUGUAGGACUGAUGCAGUUCCCACUUGCAAAGUGCUCUGUCUGGUCAUUGAGUAAAAACACAUGUUUUAUCGUCAAAUCGGAUGACUCAUCUCUAGACACAAAAAUUAAAAAUCAUACUAUAUAAAAAAUAUAUAGUAAUAUACAAAAAGUUUUAUUAGGGGACAGCCAGCUUUUACCGUGGAGAUCAUCAUAUCUUUACAAGUCUAUAAAUUGUCCGCAGUUAUAAAUUGUUCAUGUUCUCCUCUGCAGCAUGGUUCUUUCUCUAAAAACAAAAGAAAAGAGCAAAGUGUGAUCAUUACAGCAACAUUAAUUUUAAAACUGAACAUUGUUACGUGUACGUAAUGUAUAAUAGAACAAGCAGUACAUUGUAUGCCUAAUGUAGGUUAUACCAUUAUGUUCCAAGAGAGCGCUGCACAAAUGCUCUUAGAAACACCCAAUGCACCCGGCACCAUCCCAACUAAACACUACUCCCUCUAUUCCACAAUACAACGUGUAUAGAUUUUUUUUAUUUGUUUCACAAUACACCUCAUUUUUGUCUUGGUACCCGCACCCACCCAAUAACUAGUCACAUCCAUUUAUUAUUAACCCAAUAUGAGUGGUCAAGCACUAGAAACGAGAGCUGCCUUAAUCCAAGUGUACAAAUCUAUAUGAGGUGUAUUUUGGAAUGGAGAGAGUACCAUGAAUCAUCAACACCAAAUUGUUCCCUUAUAGUACACCUUAGAUAACUUUCCAAUUUUGAAUAGUAACUUUACCCAAACUUGGCAAUCAUGUAAACAUUGAAGGCAAUCAGGUAAAAAUGUUGCAGAAUCUUGUACAAACAUCUUACAUGGAAACUGAAGCAAAUUUAAUCCACAACAGGGAGGGAAAUAGUAGGCGACUAAUGUAAGACCCCGGGACUGGAAUUAUGCAAUUUAGCCUCAAAUUGCUAACCUUUGCAUAAUUCAAGCCUCAGGUUCUUAACCUACGAUGAACACUUCAACGUAGAACACGCAUGGUGCUCAUCGCAGGAUUUUUGCAACAUGAAUACCAUUACAAAACUCUACAGAAAAGAGUAAUAACAAAGCUCAUACAAGGAGCAGAAUAACAAUUAUUACAAACAGAGGACACAUGUCCCAACAUUACAACUAAUCUGCUCACUCUCAUGCAAGAAGCUUAAAAGCAAAGAGUUAAAAGCUAUUGCUUGUUCUGAGAUCAUAUAUGGAUAGAGUUAGUAUUCACCAAGAAAAAAUCAGCAUAGGCAUUCAGUACAUUGGCCAGCUCUAUCUUUUUGGCUUACAAGGUACCCAUGUACUUACAGAAGAGAGGAAACUUCAGUCCAUUGGGGAGUUGUCGGUUAUACCUGCCGCGCAGGCUGGAGAGCAGCGACGGGCGGC